GGUGGGGUAUAGGGGACUUUCAGUAUAGCAUUUGAAAAGUAAAUGAAGAAAAUAUCUAAUAAAAAAUUGGGAAAAAAAAAAGAGAACAAAUUCUCUGGACAAUCAAUGCAAGAGCCAUAAACUCUUGAUGAAGAAAAUUUUAAUUGUAUUAUAGAAAGUAAAAUAAAGUUUAAAUGUUACCAGAACAUUUUCUGUUUUCAAUGAUGUCUUAGUUUGGGUUUUUAAUGCUUCAGGAAAACACCAUAACCAAAAGUAGGUUGGGAAGGAAGGUGCUUAUAUGGCUUACACUUCCAGAUCUUAGUCCAUCAUUGGAAGAAAUCAGGACAGGAACUCAAGCAGGGCUGUAAUCUGGAGGCAAGAGCUGAUUCAGAGGUCAUGGAGGGGAGCUGUUUACUGGUUUGCUUCCCGUGGCUUGCUCAACCUGUCCUCCUAUAGAACCCAGGACUACCAGCCUAGGGAUGGCACUACCCACAGUGGGCUGCACCCUCCCCCAUUGACCACUAAUUGAAAAAAUGCCUUACCACUGGAUCUCCCAAAGGCAUUUUCUCAACUGAGGCUCCUUCCUCACUAAUCUUCCUCUAGAAUGUGUCAAGUUGACCCAAAACCAGCCAAUAAAAAUGGCAAUGCAAGAUGUGAAUGUCAAACAAAGGGUAGGUGGUGUAAAUCUCCUUCAAAAACCUUUGAUGAUUUGUCUGUCUUCCCCGGUAGACGACAAGCUCUGUAAGGCUAGAAGCCAGGACAGUUUUAUCCAUCCUGCCAUACUCAGCCCCUAAAACAUAGGAACAGAGUAUUUUUAAAUGAGUAGAAUAAAAAAACACGUCAUCUACUAGGGCAUAUGCUAUAAUUCUACUAAAUACCGCAAGAUGGAAUUCCUGGUUAAAUAAUAAAAAAUACAGAAGUGUUUAUCAAGGAGAGGCAGCUUUAAAAAUGAAGUGACAUUGAAAGCUGGCUGAUGACUUUCCCUCCUAGAUGUUCCUUGGUAAUGCACCCUUCCCCUUCAAUUUCUCCAUUUAGUUGUGAUACAUGAUGAGACUCCUUGACAGAAACCAAAUGUAUGCUGACCCAUGCUCAGGAACCUUUGGAUUAUAAGAUAAUAUUUUUUUUUACAAAUUACCCAAAGUCCAAGAACCUGCCACAAUAAUAACAGUGAGCUGUUUCGGAAUUUACAAGUGAAGCCCAUGGCAUAGCAUAUGACCAAAAUGGUAGUCACUAUAGUUUAAAUAAGCAAUAAUUUUAAUAACUAAAAUAUAAAAUCCAUAACAUCAGUCUUUUUGGCUUACUCUUUCAUACUUCAAAGCUCUUCCGGGGUUUUCGGUUUGAACUGCUAAGAACUAGAGAAUAGUAGCAUAAAUAGCUUUUAGCAAAGAGCUAACUGCCAGUUAUGAGGAUCCUUGUAACACAUUGAAGUCCUCUGAACCAAUCCACAUGAUAAGGACAUUAGGCAAAAUUUCUUUUAAAAAUCUAGAAGGGGAAGAAUGAACUAAGAACCCAGAAUCAUGAGAUCACAGCUGCUAUCAAAGGGAAUGGAUGCACCAGGGAAGACUUGGAGUCCAGUGUGAGUUGGGGGUGAGGAAGGUGCAAGCAUCCUUGCAAAUCAGCAAUAAGAGGUGGCCUCCUGAGAAGGGGUCAUCUAGGGGUACAACGAAAGAGAAGAAGGAAAUGGCCAUAUGGAUAUCAUUCUGUAAAUGUGUAAUUAAGAUUGUCAAUUUGUUAGUUACCUAAUUGGUUUUGGUUAAUUUUUCUAUAAUCAUUGAUCCUAUUUUCACUUAUAUCAGAAUUUGUAAUUCAUGAGAAACAAUAGUCAAAAAGAAAGCUUAAGCUGAGAAAGGGUAGUGCCAAUGUCUCAGGAGGCUGAGGCAGGAGGAGGGCCUGAGCGCAGAAAUUUAAGUCCAGCCUGAGCAGCAUAGUAAAUAAAACCCUAUUAAUAAAAAUACAUAAAAAUGUACAACUGUCACUUAGUGAGCACUCAAUUAGUAUGUUAAAUACAUACCUCUAAUGAGGCAAAUUAAAUUAGCAUGCUUGAGUUUUAGAGACUACCCUUCGCCAGUUUCAAUGUCUUAAGAGAAUUCAUAUAACAAUGUUGUUUUUCUAACAUUAGUUUAAAAUGUGGCCACUAUUUUUUACCAUAACAUAAAAUAUGCCUAUGACUCUAAAUAGGCUGACUAGCAUAUUUGUGGUUCUUAUAAAGCAAGGCACAUACACUGUACAGUUUCUAUUAUAAAGUAUAAUUAAAAAGAGCUGACAAAAAAGUAUUGGGAAAAUUACAUGGAUUGUUUUCUGUACUCAGAUUUUGAUAUGUGUUCCAAAAUACGAAACUAUACAACUAGAGUGAUAAAAUCAUAAUUUAAAAAUUUUCAAGAGAAAUUGAGAACAAAUAAAAACCAUUUAAGACUAGAAAUGUUCAAGAGAGAAAAUGAAUCAUGUAACAGAGCCCUGAACUCUCAACUAGUUCUGAAAAAUGUUCAUGUUGGAUUGUAAAAUAAUAUUUUAAUAUCCUCCCUAGCAUAUUUUAGUAUUUCCAUAAACCAAUUUAAUUCACGUAUAAUUUAUAUUUCUAUGUCAAACACCUGCAAGUUAUAAAUAUAUUAGUACAAAAACUUAUUUUAAGGUUUUUAUUAAAUCAGAAGUAUGUAUGAGCACACUUACAGUUGAAGAAGUUAAUGCAAGAGUUACUGGCUAGUUAUGGUACAAAACUGAGCCAAGAAAAACAUUCACUUAUUUAUAUACUGCAGCACUUGAAAAUGUCUCUUUUACACUGUGCCCAGAACCACAAAAUUUAUCAAAUAAAUUUCCAUACCCCCAAAAUCUAACCAAAAGAUACUGUGAAACUGGCAUUACAUUAAAAAUAAAAUACUAGUACUAUGCAGUUGUAUGCAUGUUC
rnacentral:lncRNA from 1 species